rnacentral:rRNA from 1 species
CCUACGGGUGGCAGCAGUGAGGAAUAUUGGUCAAUGGGCGGGCGCCUGAACCAGCCAAGUCGCGUGAGGGAAGACGGUCCUAUGGAUUGUACACCUCUUUAGUCGGGGAGCAAUGCCGGGCACGUGUGCCCGGAGGGAGAGUACCCGCAGAAUAAGCAUCGGCUACCUCCGUGCCAGCAGCCGCGGUAAUACGGAGGAUGCGAGCGUUAUCCGGCUUUAUGGGGUUUAAAGGGUGCGUAGGCGGAUUGUUAAGUCAGCGGUAAAAUGUCCGGGCUCAACCCAGGCCGGCCGUUGAAACUGGGGAGCUUGAGUGGGCGAGAAGUAUGCGGAAUGCGUGGUGGAGCGGUGAAAUGCAUAGAUAUCACGCAGAACUCCGAUUGCGAAGGCAGCAUACCGGCGCCCGACUGACGCUGAGGCACGAAAGCGUGGGGAUCGAACAGGAUUAGAUACCCGAGUAGUC